GGAUGUGGCCCUAUGCCAAGCAGCCAGAGACCCAGUGCUGGGACCUGCAGUGCUGGGUGAAUGCCUCCCGGUACUGAGCCCCAGGGUUACUGUUUCAAGAUAGCUCCCUGGAGGACGAGAACAGUGAAGAGAUACAUGAAACUGGACAUGGCAAAUUUAUUCUACAGAACAUUUCUGGACUUCUUCCAUCGGAAGCUCAAAGCUAAGGUCAUAUCGAUGUGCUUGGGGACUGGUGGCGACCCGAUUGUCUGAAACAGCCCCGAGGAGGAGCCUUCCCGAGGGCAGCAGGGUCAGCACCGCGCUCUCAGGCCUGGCCAUGGU
rnacentral:lncRNA from 1 species